UACGUAGGGGGCAAGCGUUGUCCGGAAUUAUUGGGCGUAAAGCGCGCGCAGGCGGUCAUAAAAGUCUGGUGUGAAAACCUAGGGCUCAACCCUGGGACUGCAUUGGAAACUCUAUGACUUGAGAGCAGAAGAGGAGAGUGGAAUUCCUAGUGUAGCGGUGAAAUGCGUAGAUAUUAGGAGGAACACCAGUGGCGAAGGCGACUCUCUGGCCUAUAACUGACGCUGAGGCGCGAAAGCGUGGGGAGCAAACAGG
rnacentral:rRNA from 1 species